UCUGCUUUUAAACCAACAGCAUUACAAAAGGAGUAUCGGCAGAUUGGAAAAGCAUUUCAGAACCUUUCAUCAGUUUUCAACACUAGUGCAUACCCAAGGGAAUACACUCUGACGGAAGCAUUGACUGCAACAGGAAAAACGUAUGAGGAAAUAGCAGAACUCGUUGCAGGACAGCCAAAAAAAGAUCUACACUUCCUGAUGGA